UACGUAGGGUGCGAGCGUUAAUCGGAAUACUGGGCGUAAAGCGUGCGCAGGCGGUUCGUUGUGUCGGUGGUGAAAGCCCCGGGCUUAACCUGGGAAUGGCCAUGGAAACUGGCGAACUGGAGUGUGGCAGAGGGGGGUGGAAUUCCGCGUGUAGCAGUGAAAUGCGUAGAGAUGCGGAGGAACACCGAUGGCGAAGGCAGCCCCCCUGGGCUAGCACUGACGCUCAGGCACGAAAGCGUGGGGAGCAAACAGG
rnacentral:rRNA from 1 species